rnacentral:rRNA from 1 species
AUGAACGCUAGCUACAGGCUUAACACAUGCAAGUCGAGGGGCAGCAUGAACUUAGCUUGCUAAGUUUGAUGGCGACCGGCGCACGGGUGAGUAACACGUAUCCAACCUGCCGAUGACUCGGGGAUAGCCUUUCGAAAGAAAGAUUAAUACCCGAUGGCAUAGUUCUUCCGCAUGGUAGAACUAUUAAAGAAUUUCGGUCAUCGAUGGGGAUGCGUUCCAUUAGGUUGUUGGCGGGGUAACGGCCCACCAAGCCUUCGAUGGAUAGGGGUUCUGAGAGGAAGGUCCCCCACAUUGGAACUGAGACACGGUCCAAACUCCUACGGGAGGCAGCAGUGAGGAAUAUUGGUCAAUGGACGAGAGUCUGAACCAGCCAAGUAGCGUGAAGGAUGACUGCCCUAUGGGUUGUAAACUUCUUUUAUACGGGAAUAAAGUGAGGCACGUGUGCCUUUUUGUAUGUACCGUAUGAAUAAGGAUCGGCUAACUCCGUGCCAGCAGCCGCGGUAAUACGGAGGAUCCGAGCGUUAUCCGGAUUUAUUGGGUUUAAAGGGAGCGUAGGCGGACGCUUAAGUCAGUUGUGAAAGUUUGCGGCUCAACCGUAAAAUUGCAGUUGAUACUGGGUGUCUUGAGUACAGUAGAGGCAGGCGGAAUUCGUGGUGUAGCGGUGAAAUGCUUAGAUAUCACGAAGAACUCCGAUUGCGAAGGCAGCUUGCUGGACUGUAACUGACGCUGAUGCUCGAAAGUGUGGGUAUCAAACAGGAUUAGAUACCCUGGUAGUCCACACAGUAAACGAUGAAUACUCGCUGUUUGCGAUAUACAGUAAGCGGCCAAGCGAAAGCGUUAAGUAUUCCACCUGGGGAGUACGCCGGCAACGGUGAAACUCAAAGGAAUUGACGGGGGCCCGCACAAGCAGUGGAGUAUGUGGUUUAAUUCGAAGCAACGCGAAGAACCUUACCAGGUCUUGACAUCCGAUGCAUAACACAGAGAUGUGUGAAAUCCUUCGGGACAUCGAGACAGGUGGUGCAUGGUUGUCGUCAGCUCGUGUCGUGAGAUGUUGGGUUAAGUCCCGCAACGAGCGCAACCCCUGUCCUUAGUUGCCAGCAUGUAGAGAUGGGAACUCUAAGGAGACUGCCGUAGAUAAUACGGAGGAAGGUGGGGAUGACGUCAAAUCAGCACGGCCCUUACGUCCGGGGCUACACACGUGUUACAAUGGGGGGUACAGAAGGCAGCUACACGGCGACGUGAUGCUAAUCCCGAAAGCCUCUCUCAGUUCGGAUUGGAGUCUGCAACCCGACUCCAUGAAGCUGGAUUCGCUAGUAAUCGCGCAUCAGCCACGGCGCGGUGAAUACGUUCCCGGGCCUUGUACACACCGCCCGUCAAGCCAUGAAAGCCGGGGGUACCUGAAGUGCGUAACCGCAAGGAGCGCCCUAGGGUAAAACUGGUGAUUGGGGCU